GUACUUGUAGCUCAGUUGGAUAGAGCGACAGACUCCGACUCUGUAGGCCGCAGGUUCGAAUCCUGUCAGGUACACCA
rnacentral:tRNA from 1 species